rnacentral:lncRNA from 1 species
UGGGGUCCCCCUCUUCAUUAGCACGUUUCUGCUAUUGUUGUCAAGCUAUUGCUCUCACAUCUAUUUCCUCCUCGCCCUACUCGUGAUCGCCCAGCGUCUUCUACUUUCAGUAAGUACUCUUCUCCUGACUUAUAGUUAUCGUUCUCGUAGUUUAUGUCCCGUAAUUCCGACGUAACUAGAUCGGGCGACCUAGAUUCGUUACCUUCGUGGAUAUCCGACCAUUUAGGAGAAGGCUCCCCCUAUAUGGCUGACGAGGUAACUCAAUCGCCGUCGUCGCCCAUGGAGGGUUCACCUGAGGAGAGUCCUUUGAUCGCCAUUCAUCCCUCAAUAGAGGAAAAAAC